GGUUGAUCCUGCCAGUAGUCAUAUGCUUGUCUCAAAGACUAAGCCAUGCAUGUCUAAGUAUAAACGUUUUGUACAGUAAGACUGCGGAUGGCUCAUUAAAUCAGUUAUAGUGGGUGUAAUGCAUAUUGUUUUGUACUUUUUGUUGUUCUUUUGAAUAAAGUUAUACAUUUAACCACAAACACUUCCCCAGAAUGAUCCCUUUACUACUUGGAUAACCGUAGUAAUUCUAGAGCUAAUACAUGCGAAAAGUCCUGACUAUGGCUUCGGCUAUUGGAAAGGAUGUAUUUAUUAG
rnacentral:rRNA from 1 species